UGCGGAGUGGACAAGUGGUAAGUCGCUGGCCUCAUAAGCCAGAGAACGUCUCAAAUGGUUCGAAUCCUACCUCCGCCAC
rnacentral:tRNA from 1 species